rnacentral:rRNA from 1 species
GCGAUCAUACGACCACACUAAUGCACCGGAUCCAUCAAACUCCGCAGUUAAACGUGCUUGGGCGAGAGUAGUACUAGGAUGGGUGACCUCCUGGGAAGUCCUCGUGUUGCACCCC